rnacentral:misc_RNA from 1 species
GAUGAAGAACGUAGCGAAAUGCGAUAAGUAAUGUGAAUUGCAGAAUUCAGUGAAUCAUCGAAUCUUUGAACGCACAUUGCGCCCCUUGGUAUCCCGAGGGGCAUGCCUGUUCGAGCGUCAUUUCACCACUCAAGCCUGGCUUGGUGUUGGGCGACGUCCCCUUUAGGGACGCGCCUCGAAACGCUCGGCGGCGCGGCACCGGCUUUAAGCGUAGCAGCAUAUACCUCGCUCGUGGGGUCAGGACCGGCGCCUCAGCCGCUAAAAUUGGGGAAGGGGGACCUCGCGCCCCCUCUCCCUCAUUCUCAGGUUGACCUCGAAUCAGGUGGGGAUACCCGCUGAACUUAAGCAUAUCAAUAAGCGGAGGA